rnacentral:rRNA from 1 species
AUGGAGACGUAUCAUUGCAUGCUUCGAGUAAAAAAGAAUGCACCCUUUGUUUGGGGUCCAUCUCAAUCUACCGCAUUUGAUGAGCUCAAAUCUUUGCUUACACAUGCCCCAAUUCUUGCAUUACCUGAUUUCAACAAAACUUUUGAGGUUCAUUGUGAUGCUAGCGGUAAUGGAAUUGGUGGAGUUUGGAUGCAAGAAAAGCGACCCAUUGCAUACUUUAGUGAAAAUUUUCUGGUGCUAAACGAAACUAUCCCAUCUAUGACAAAGAAUUGUAUGCUUUGGUGCGAGUAUUGCAUGUUUGGGAGCAUUACCUUCACCCACAUGAAUUUGUCAUAA